rnacentral:rRNA from 1 species
AAGGAAUAUUGGUCAAUGGACGCAAGUCUGAACCAGCCAUGCCGCGUGGAGGAUUAAGGCCCUCUGGGUUGUAAACUCCUUUUAUCUGGGAAGAAAUGUACUUUUUCUUGAGUACUUGACGGUACCAGAGGAAUAAGCACCGGCUAACUCCGUGCCAGCAGCCGCGGUAAUACGGAGGGUGCAAGCGUUAUCCGGAUUCACUGGGUUUAAAGGGUGCGUAGGUGGGCAGGUAAGUCAGUGGUGAAAUCUCCGGGCUUAACCCGGAAACUGCCGUUGNAACUAUUUGUCUUGAAUAUUGUGGAUGUAAGCGGAAUAUGUCAUGUAGCGGUGAAAUGCUUAGAUAUGACAUAGAACACAAAUUGCGAAGGCAGCUUACUACACAAUCAUUGACGCUGAGGCACGAAAGCGUGGGGAUCAAAC